rnacentral:misc_RNA from 1 species
GAAAAGACCUCUCCCCCAACUUACUGUGUCCAUCCUCUUCAGAAUCUUCCUUCUGGCUCUUGUGAGGUGUUGUUUUAUAAUUUAUUGGUUUAGUUUUCAAUUAAACAGCAUAUGAUUCUGAUAAUUAAGAAUCUGUUGUACUGUGUAGUUGUGCUGUUCAGUUGUUUAUGUUCACUGGGAUGAGGUAUAGCUCUCCAGUUCUUUCCACAGCGAUGAAUGAUCUCACACCUGCUUUCACUUUUUUGUUAGCCAUAAUCUCCAGGUGCGCCUUCGAUCUCUUUGUUCUUCUGUUUCCACUUUCCAGCGAAAGAUAAAUUUAAAA